rnacentral:rRNA from 1 species
AGAGUUUGAUCCUGGCUCAGAUUGAACGCUGGCGGCAUGCUUUACACAUGCAAGUCGAACGGGGUGAGGGGGCAACUCCUCAUUCAGUGGCGAACGGGUGAGUAAUGCAUCGGAACGUGUCCCGUAGUGGGGGAUAACGCCGCGAAAGCGGCGCUAAUACCGCAUACGCUCUACGGAGGGAAGCGGGGGAUCGCAAGACCUCGCGCUAAGGGAGCGGCCGAUGUCCGAUUAGCUUGUUGGUGGGGUAAUGGCUUACCAAGGCGACGAUCGGUAGCUGGUCUGAGAGGAUGAUCAGCCACACUGGGACUGAGACACGGCCCAGACUCCUACGGGAGGCAGCAGUGGGGAAUUUUGGACAAUGGGGGAAACCCUGAUCCAGCCAUGCCGCGUGCGGGAAGAAGGCCUUCGGGUUGUAAACCGCUUUUAGCCGGGACGAAAGCGCUACGGAUAACACCCGUGGCGGUUGACGGUACCGGCGGAAUAAGCACCGGCUAACUACGUGCCAGCAGCCGCGGUAAUAC